UAGGGAAUCUUCCGCAAUGGGCGAAAGCCUGACGGAGCAACGCCGCGUGAGUGAUGAAGGUCUUCGGAUCGUAAAACUCUGUUAUUAGGGAAGAACAAAUGUGUAAGUAACUAUGCACGUCUUGACGGUACCUAAUCAGAAAGCCACGGCUAACUACGUGCCAGCAGCCGCGGUAAUACGUAGGUGGCAAGCGUUAUCCGGAAUUAUUGGGCGUAAAGCGCGCGUAGGCGGUUGUUUAAGUCUGAUGUGAAAGCCCACGGCUCAACCGUGGAGGGUCAUUGGAAACUGGAAAACUUGAGUGCAGAAGAGGAAAGUGGAAUUCCAUGUGUAGCGGUGAAAUGCGCAGAGAUAUGGAGGAACUCCAGUGGCGAAGGCGACUUUCUGGUCUGUAACUGACGCUGAUGUGCGAAAGCGUGGGGAUCAAACAGG
rnacentral:rRNA from 1 species